GGCGGCUGAGCCGUCCCGUGCCUUUCCCCAUGGAGGUAUCAUCCCGAUUCGAAAGGAAAAAUCAUCCAGAUUCGAAAUUCUUUCGCUAGGGUUAGGAGACCUGUUGGGAGAUGAUGCUUCCCUCUGGCAGGAUCCCCUCGUUCCGUGCUGGGCUGGCGAGCGGCGAGCGGCGCGGUUAAUUCCUCUCCGGCGGUUGUGUCCGGCCAAGCGUGCGAGUCUCCGAGCGUUUCGGGCAGGGCCGGCGAGUGGCGUUCCGGGCAGGGCCAGCGAGCGGCGCUUCUGAUUCGUCUCCGGCCAACAGUGCCAGUCCUCCGAGCAUUCCCCAUCGAUGUCAUACUAGAUCUAAUCCCAAGGUAUGAGCAUCUGUAGUGUUCGUCUUCUGUGCUUUGGCCCGGUGCUCCGAGCAUUCCCCAUCGAUGUCAUACUGUCCAGAUUUUGGUCUUGUAGAAAUUGCGAGGUAUAAUUCAUUUGCUCAUAAUUAUUGUGUGGUACUGUUAUAGUACACAUCUAUGACUAUUCAUGUGUUGUUGGCUUGCUGCCUGGCGUGUGUGCUCUGUGUAACCAUGGCAUGCUCUACUGUCUAUGAAAAUUGUUAUUUAUCUAUAAACUGCUACCCCUACUGUCUAGAUGGAAUUUAGAUGAUGAUACGUAUCUGAAUUGAAAAUUGUGUCUAGAUGGAAGUUAUCAAAGAGAAAACUCGCGCUGUGUGUAGGGCUUGUAUGCGCUGCUGCAAAUUUUGUAGAUUAAUUAUUGUGUGUGGUGCUAGUAGUGUGAGUGACAGUGAGAGAAAAAUCCUUGAUUAAUGUAUGUGUUUGCCAUUGCUACUAGAUUAAUUAUUGGAGGACCAUAUUUUAAAUAAUUUAAAGUUCUUAAAAAACUCGAAAACAAUUAUACGUGAUCAUAUGGAUGUAUAUUGCAGUUGUGUAAAGUUUGGUGACGAAAUAAAUAAACAUGUGAGCUAUAGAAAAAUGACAAAAUGAUGAUUUUCAAAUAGUGAAUAAUGCACGCUCAGUUCAUCUUUCCAAAAAAAAAACGAUUUUGUCAUUUUUGUGUAACUCACAUGGUUACUUAUUUUAGUAUCAAAAUUUACACAUGUGUAAUAUACAUCCAUAUAACCAUGUUGACUUGUUUUCAGAACAUUUUGAAACUUCAAAAUAGAAUUUUGACACUAUUCCAAAUAUCGGGCUUCAAUGCACCCGUCCUCCAAAUUGACUUUUUGUUGUAUGCAUAAUUAUUUGUGUAGUAUGACGGGAAAUAAGAAAUGAGCUGGUUUGGAAAAUAAUUCUGUUCUUUUUUUGCUAAUAAAGAUGACAUGCACUACUGUAUCUAUUUGCAUAGAUUGUUGUUAAACUCGUUUUAAUGUAUUAUGUAUAAAAAAAGUUCAACUCUUAUUUUUCAGGUUUUCUGGUGGCAGUAAAGAUAUAUGCAGAUUUCAACAACAAAAAAGACUGUUGUUUGGAGUCGUAGUAGUGCACUGAUACGUCCUUCUGCGUGUGUACUCGAGUUGUGUGCUCAAUGUUUGAUGUAUAAGUGUGAGAUUUACUAUGGCUGUUCAGUUAGUGAUGUGUCUAUCUUGUAACAAAAUUCCCUAGCAUAAUGCGGUUGGAACAUUUGCCUUAACUAAUGUAUGUGUUGUUGAAGCGAUGCAUGCAUUACUGCAAGUGAAUUCUGAUACUAGUAGACUAUAUUAAAAUUAGCUUCCUUCAGUUUUCUGUUGUCUGGUCUGGGGCAUUGACUGUCUGUUCUUUUGGUUUCCCAAAUGUGGUUUUG
rnacentral:lncRNA from 1 species